rnacentral:rRNA from 1 species
UUCACCUACGGGGCGCAGCAGUCGGGAAUAUUGCACAAUGGAGGAAACUCUGAUGCAGUGACGCCGCGUGCAGGAAGAAGGUUUUCGGAUUGUAAACUGCUUUAGACAGGGAAGAAACAAGACAGUACCUGUAGAAUAAGCUCCGGCUAACUACGUGCCAGCAGCCGUGGUAAUACGUAGGGAGCAAGCGUUAUCCGGAUUUAUUGGGUGUAAAGGGUGCGUAGACGGGAAUUUAAGUUAGUUGUGAAAUCCCUCGGCUUAACUGAGGAACUGCAACUAAAACUGAAUUUCUUGAGUGCGGGAGA